UGGGGAAUAUUGGACAAUGGGCGCAAGCCUGAUCCAGCCAUACCGCGUGGGUGAAGAAGGCCUUCGGGUUGUAAAGCCCUUUUGUUGGGAAAGAAAUCCAGCUGGCUAAUACCCGGUUGGGAUGACGGUACCCAAAGAAUAAGCACCGGCUAACUUCGUGCCAGCAGCCGCGGUAAUACGAAGGGUGCAAGCGUUACUCGGAAUUACUGGGCGUAAAGCGUGCGUAGGUGGUCGUUUAAGUCCGUUGUGAAAGCCCUGGGCUCAACCUGGGAACUGCAGUGGAUACUGGGCGACUAGAGUGUGGUAGAGGGUAGCGGAAUUCCUGGUGUAGCAGUGAAAUGCGUAGAGAUCAGGAGGAACAUCCAUGGCGAAGGCAGCUACCUGGACCAACACUGACACUGAGGCACGAAAGCGUGGGGAGCAAACAGGAUUAGAUACCCUGGUAGUCCACGCCCUAAACGAUGCGAACUGGAUGUUGGGUGCAAUUUGGCACGCAGUAUCGAAGCUAACGCGUUAAGUUCGCCGCCUGGGGAGUACGGUCGCAAGACUGAAACUCAAAUGAAUUGACGGGGUCAUAGCGUGUUUUCCU
rnacentral:rRNA from 1 species